rnacentral:rRNA from 1 species
UACGUAGGGACCAAGCGUUGUUCGGAUUUACUGGGCGUAAAGGGCGCGUAGGCGGCAUGACAAGUCACUUGUGAAAUCUCUGGCUUAACCCAGAACGGCCAAGUGAUACUGUCGCGCUAGAGUGCAGAAGGGGCAAUCGGAAUUCUCGGUGUAGCGGUGAAAUGCGUAGAUAUCGAGAGGAACACCAGAGGUGAAGACGGGUUGCUGGGCUGACACUGACGCUGAGGCGCGAAAGCCAGGGGAGCAAACGGG